ensembl:lncRNA
GGGUCCUUUCACCGGGAAUAGGUUAUGAACAGGAUAACUUUCCUGUUUCUCAUAACAGGAAAACAAAAAUAUCACUCUCAAAAGAGCGUUUCUUGACCAGAAAUAUUUUAACUUACACUUAGUUACUCAGUGAAAGGUAAUUUUAGGUAAAAUGGAGCUCUGCUUAUCUCUGCAAGAAUAUCUACUGCCUCCUAUUACCAUAACACAUUUUAUUUGAUGGGAGGGAAAGCGAGUCCAGUCUGGUCCACCUAAAUGAUAACCCUGGUUGAAAUCCAGCUUGAGCUGGCCUGCAAAAGUGAUCUCCUUAGAAAAAACUCUCCAAGGACAAGACUCUGACCCUCCAGAGCAGGCAGGACUGUGGCCAGUCCCAGGCCUUUGCCAGGAUGGGACCACAACUCUCAGCUGGUGUGUACCCUCCCAGAACCGAUGCAUUCACUUACACUGUGUGUGUAGAUCAUCCUCCUAAGGGACAGUCCCAGCCUUCCUCAGAUUCAGGUCCCAGCAAGGUGAACUGACUUGCCCUUUCCAUUUCUCCACCCUCAGUAAAUCCCUUCCCCACUGUCUACAUCGUCCAUCUGGUCAGGCUAGACUACGUGGAAACAAGGAAACCCCAGUCAGCAGCAGGACCAAGGAUUCUCUGCAUCAGGUCACAGCAGGCAUGGGCCCAGGGGCCUCCUAGGCAGCCCCUACCCCGCCACCCCAGCUCCUCACAUGGAGACACUAAGAUGAAAGAAGGAGCCUGAGUUUAAGGCUCACACUGGCUCUUAACUACUCUCUCCAGAAUGAGCUUGGGCUUUCCACUCAGCCCAGCAGCACUCAUCACAAGGCCCAGCAAGACUGGAAGGAGAUGAGGAAGGCAAGGGAUGCAGAGAGGAUGCUGGAAGCGUACUGACCACCUCUGCUGGGGCCUGGCCCUGAUAAACGCAGGGCCGAGAGAUGUGGAGACAGCAGGACUCCAUCAAAGGGAAAAAGCCUCAAGAAGCUGCUAAGGAGAUGAGCUCCCAAGUGUGAGCUUGGGAUGGUUUGUGCCCCAGGACAUGAGUCUCCAGAGCCAACAUGCUUUCCUGACCCCCAUCAUCUGUCCAGUCUUGCUGUGGAAGUAAUAGCCGUGCGGUAACCCUGGAGUGCAAGCUGUUGACGCCUCUUCCCCAGCUGACGAGAGGGUGUGUGUAACACAGCUCUGAAGGCUUCGUGCAUGCUCAAUGAAACCAUAAAGAGCUGGAACUCAGAAAAUUCAAGUGAUUUUUAUCACGGCUUCCACUUCCUCCCACCCUGAUCA